GAUGAAGAACGCAGCGAAAUGCGAUAAGUAAUGUGAAUUGCAGAAUUCAGUGAAUCAUCGAAUCUUUGAACGCACAUUGCGCCCCCUGGUAUUCCGGGGGGCAUGCCUGUCCGAGCGUCAUUACAACCCUCAAGCUCAGCUUGGUGUUGGGCCCCGCCGCCCCGGCGGGCCCUAAAGUCAGUGGCGGUGCCGUCCGGCUCCGAGCGUAGUAAUUCUUCUCGCUCUGGAGGUCCGGUCGUGUGCUUGCCAGCAACCCCCAAUUUUUUUCAGGUUGACCUCGGAUCAGGUAGGGAUACCCGCUGAACUUAAGCAUAUCAAUAGCGGAGGA
rnacentral:misc_RNA from 1 species